AAAAAAAAAAAAAGAAAAACCAGUGAAAAAAAGGAAAACCAGAACUACAAUCAUUUCGAUCGCACCCGUAAUUGCUAUGGAUUUGAAAUUGAAUUGGUUUGACCAAGUUAAAAACUUGUCAAAAUAUAUUAGAAAUUAUACAAUAAUAAUAGUGAUAGUUACGCACAAAUUUGCCUUAUUUAAUUGACCAUCAAAUGUGGCUUAUUUCAUUCAAACAAGAGAAACUUUAAAAGGAGCUUUUUCAAGCUCAUUUUUUCUUAAAUAGGAAUAGUGCAACCAUCCAUUCUUCCCCAUUGUUGUAUCCAAAAAGUUCUGCAACUGCAAUAAAGAAUGUUCUCCAGUGGACGGUCCACUUGAUAGCUUGAUCCUUGCCGUAAGUUGAUUCUAUUAUUGGCUUAAUCAAAGCCAUGUUUUCGUCCAUUCUUUUGAGCCAUGCCUCACUACAAGUUUUCAGUAAAUCAUAAAAUUAAAUUAGGCACGUCUAUUGCCUCAAGAUAGGAGAACGAUAAAUCUGAAAAGUACAAUAAAUUGCAGGAUUACUAUCCAUCCUCACCUUGUCUGUGCAUAAUGUUUCCCAUUCGCAAGCCAGUCUUGAUAAGAUCUGAUUUGGCUUUGCUGUACAUCUUUAUUUAUGAAUUCUUUAGCUUUAGUAUUCUUAUCCACUGGCACAUGACUAGUCAUCGCUAUUUGAACCUAUAUUAAUUUAUGCUUUAGAAGGAAAAGAUAUGUUUGCUGAUAAGAGAUGCAGAGCUGACCUGGAAAUGAAGCAACAGAUUUGCAGCAGGCAUUGUUCCUCCAGUGAAGAAAUACCUAGUAAUCCAGUCAUCUUCAUUUAUAUCCUGAAUAGAAACAGAAGAUGGAAUGUAUGUUAUUAGAUAUGCAAGAGGUAGCUGUUGCACUCAUUUCAUAUAGGCA
rnacentral:misc_RNA from 1 species